rnacentral:sRNA from 1 species
CCACAGCCCCCUCCUCACCACCCAGCACCCCAGUGUUCCCACUGCCCAAAGCUGCCCCCAAUGGCUCCUCAGACAUCCGUUUCUACCUCACCGUAUAUGCGACCAUUGCUGGUGUCAAUUCCCUCUGCACCCUUCUCCGGGCAGUGCUCUUUGCGGCAGGCACCCUUCAAGCAGCUGCCACUCUGCAUCGCCACCUGCUUCAUCGAGUCCUUAUGGGCUGGUGGGCCUGUCGCUGUCUUACGCCCUGUCCCUGACGGGCCUGCUCUCGGGCCUGGUGAGCAGCUUCACACAGACAGAGGCCAUGCUGGUGAGCGUCGAGCGGCUGGAAGAGUACUCCUGUGACCUGCCCCAGGAACCCCAGGGCCAGCCACUGCAGGUGGGCCUGUACCCCCACCCCAGGCCAAA